AGUGAACGCUGGCGGUAUGCCUAACACAUGCAAGUCGAACGGCAGCACAGUAAGAGCUUGCUCUUACGGGUGUCGAGUGGCGGACGGUUGAGGAAUACAUCGGAAUCUACUUUUUCGUGGGGGAUAACGUAGGGAAACGUACGCUAAUACCGCAUACGACCUACGGGUGAAAGCAGGGGUUCUUCGGACCUUGCGCUAGUGAAUGAGCCUAUGUCGGAUUAGCUGGGUGGCGGGGUAAAGGGCCACAAAGGCGACGCUCCGUAGCUGCUAUGAGGGGAUCAAUACACAGCUUGUCUGAGAGAAUGGUCAGCCACACUGAGACGGAGACACGGCCCAGACUCCUACGGGAGGCAGCAGUGGGGAAUAUUGGACAAUGGGGGAAAGCAUGAUCCAGCAAUGCCGCGUAAGUGAUGAAGGCCUGAGAGUAGUAAAGCUCUUUUACCCGCGAUUAUAAUGACGGUACCGAGAGAAUAAGCACCGGCUAACUCCGUG
rnacentral:rRNA from 1 species